UUAAAUUUAUUUGAAAAUCGCAAGUGUAGUUUUCGAGAAACUGAAUUUUAGCCUCUGAAAAGGCUGAAAUUCAGUUUCUCGAAAACUACACUGGCGAUUUUCAAAUAACUU